rnacentral:rRNA from 1 species
UACAGAGGGGGCAAGCGUUGUUCGGAAUUACUGGGCGUAAAGGGCGCGUAGGCGGCCUUCUAAGUCGAACGUGAAAUCCCCGGGCUCAACCCGGGAACUGCGUCCGAUACUGGAAGGCUUGAAUCCGGGAGAGGGAUGUGGAAUUCCAGGUGUAGCGGUGAAAUGCGUAGAUAUCUGGAGGAACACCGGUGGCGAAGGCGACAUCCUGGACCGGUAUUGACGCUGAGGCGCGAAAGCCAGGGGAGCAGACGGG